UACGUUCAGGCAUCAGGCCCGGAAGUAGCAUACAGCGAAGGAACGCACC
ncrna:unclassified sequences glnA RNA